GGACAGACGGGGACAUUCGUAUUGCGGCGCUAGAGGUGAAAUUCUUGGACCGUCGCAAGACGAACUAAGGCGAAAGCAUUUGUCAAGAAUGUUUUCAUUAAUCAAGAACGAAAGUUAGAGGUUCGAAGGCGAUCAGAUACCGCCCUAGUUCUAACCAUAAACGAUGCCAGCCAGCGAUUAGCCUGAGUUCCUUAAAUGACUCGGCUAGCAGCUUCCGGGAAACCAAAGCUUUUCGGUUCCGGGGGAAGUAUGGUUGCAAAGCUGAAACUUAAAGGAAUUGACGGAAGGGCACCACCAGGAGUGGAGCCUGCGGCUUAAUUUGACUCAACACGGGAAAACUUACCUGGUCAGGACACUGGAAGGAUUGACAGAUUGAGAGCUCUUUCUUGAUUCAGUGGGUGGUGGUGCAUGGCCGUUCUUAGUUGGUGGAGCGAUUUGUCUGGUUAAUUCCGAUAACGAACGAGACUCUAGCCUACUAAAUAGACUGCUCAACUUUAUAGCUGCAUCACCUUGCAGUUGCUUCGGUGGCUGUAAGGCUGUGGUGACGUUGGCAGUGCUUCUUAGAGGGACAGGCGGCGGUUCAGCCGCACGAAACAGAGCAAUAACAGGUCUGUGAUGCCCUUAGAUGUCCAGGGCCGCACGCGCGCUACACUGAAGUGAUCAGCGUGCAAUUAACGUUUCCUACUCCGUCAGGAGUGGGUAACCCGUUGAACCUUCUUCGUGAUUGGGAUAGGGGAUUGUAAUUAUUCCCCUUGAACGAGGAAUUCCCAGUAAGCGCAAGUCAUAAGCUUGCGUUGAUUACGUCCCUGCCCUUUGUACACACCGCCCGUCGCUACUAC
rnacentral:rRNA from 1 species